GCUUUCAAAGGAUAACAGCUCAUCCGUUGGUCUUAGGAACCAAAAACCCUUGGUGCAAAUCCAAGUGAAAGCU
rnacentral:tRNA from 1 species